CUCCUUUGACGUUAGCGGCGGACGGGUGAGUAACACGUGGGUAACCUACCUAUAAGACUGGGAUAACUUCGGGAAACCGGAGCUAAUACCGGAUAAUAUUUCGAACCGCAUGGUUCGAUAGUGAAAGGUGGUUUUGCUAUCACUUAUAGAUGGACCCGCGCCGUAUUAGCUAGUUGGUAGGGUAACGGCUUACCAAGGCGACGAUACGUAGCCGACCUGAGAGGGUGAUCGGCCACACUGGAACUGAGACACGGUCCAGACUCCUACGGGAGGCAGCAGGC
rnacentral:rRNA from 1 species